UCGGGAAUAUUGGACAAUGGGCGCAAGCCUGAUCCAGCCAUGCCGCGUGUGUGAUGAAGGCCCUAGGGUUGUAAAGCACUUUCAGUGGGGAAGAUAAUGACGGUACCCACAGAAGAAGCCCCGGCUAACUUCGUGCCAGCAGCCGCGGUAAUACGAAGGGGGCUAGCGUUGUUCGGAAUUACUGGGCGUAAAGGGCGCGUAGGCGGUCUGUCGCGUCAGGUGUGAAAGCCCCGGGCUCAACCUGGGAGGUGCACUUGAUACGGGCGGACUGGAAUCCGGGAGAGGAUGGUGGAAUUCCCAGUGUAGAGGUGAAAUUCGUAGAUAUUGGGAAGAGCAC
rnacentral:rRNA from 1 species